UACGUAGGGAGCAAGCGUUGUCCGGAAUUACUGGGCGUAAAGCGCGUGUAGGCAGUUUCGCAAGUCGGAUGUGAAAGCCCUGGGCUCAACCUAGGAAGUGCAUUCGAAACUGCGAGACUGGAGCCUGGAGAGGAAGGCGGAAUUCGUCGGUGUAGAGGUGAAAUUCGUAGAUAUCGAGAGGAACACCAGUGGCGAAGGCGACUACCUGGCCUGUUCUUGACGCUGAGGCGCGAAAGCUAGGGGAGCAAACGGGG
rnacentral:rRNA from 1 species